rnacentral:rRNA from 1 species
GAAGGACGAGGAGCUUGCUCCUCUGACGUUAGCGGCGGACGGGUGAGUAACACGUGGAUAACCUACCUAUAAGACUGGGAUAACUUCGGGAAACCGGAGCUAAUACCGGAUAAUAUAUUGAACCGCAUGGUUCAAUAGUGAAAGACGGUUUUGCUGUCACUUAUAGAUGGAUCCGCGCCGCAUUAGCUAGUUGGUAAGGUAACGGCUUACCAAGGCAACGAUGCGUAGCCGACCUGAGAGGGUGAUCGGCCACACUGGAACUGAGACACGGUCCAGACUCCUACGGGAGGCAGCAGUAGGGAAUCUUCCGCAAUGGGCGAAAGCCUGACGGAGCAACGCCGCGUGAGUGAUGAAGGUCUUCGGAUCGUAAAACUCUGUUAUUAGGGAAGAACAAAUGUGUAAGUAACUAUGCACGUCUUGACGGUACCUAAUCAGAAAGCCACGGCUAACUACGUGCCAGCAGCCGCGGUAAUACGUAGGUGGCAAGCGUUAUCCGGAAUUAUUGGGCGUAAAGCGCGCGUAGGCGGUUUUUUAAGUCUGAUGUGAAAGCCCACGGCUCA